UGUUUUAUCUUAGCUCUGGGGGGAACUGGAAACGAGAGACCAGAAAUCCAUUUUCCUGUCUCUCCUUCUAGCCUGCACCUCCAUGGACUGCCUUGGUCAUGGCAGUGCUAUGUUGGACUGACCCUUCCUCCUUCAGGGACAGAAGAAGGAAAUGGAACUUCAAGUUAUUGCUCUGGUUGGCUUUGGCAGUGAGAACCUCAAAUCCCUCACCCCCUGCCCACACACCGUGCCUAACCUCCCAUGCUCCCAGCAGGAGGUGGUGCUCACAGAAGAGACAGAGAUUCCUUCCUUCCUACAGAACCAGUGUGUCAACUCCUGCAUCAGGUACAGUGUGUCCCAGGAGAGAGCCAAGGCCAUAAGGAGCAGCAGAGCCCCAUUCUAAUUCACCAUCCUCCUCGCUGAAUUUGACAUAAGUGACCUCUGAUCCUGCUUCCUGAUGCCAGGUGUAGUUCCCCAAACUAGGGAACUUGGUGGCUUAGUUGUGACUGUCCAUCCGUGACCCAGCCACGGACAUUGACUGGCUGGCCAACGAGGGUAUUUACCAGCUGUACAAACUGCUGCUACAACAGAGGUAA